ensembl:misc_RNA Metazoa_SRP Metazoan signal recognition particle RNA
GCCGGGUGUGGUGGUUCGCACCUGUAAUCCCAGCUACUCAGGAGGCUGAGGCAGGAGAAUCACUUGAACCCAGGAGGCGGAGGUUGCAGUGAGCCAAGAUUGCACCACUGCACUCCAGCCUGGGUGACAAAGUGAGACUCUGUCUCAA